GGUCUGGGUGCCUAGAGUGGUCCUUUAAUAGUACGAAACAUAAAAUAAUAAAGUAGAAGUUUAAAUUCUAAACAAAACGUUUACAAGGAUACAUUUACAAGGUUAUUUGCGAAACCGAGGAGUGUCAGGAAUUGCAAACUUUACGGCAAUAUAGCUGAUCUGGAAAAAAAUGCUAACUUGAGUGAAUUGUUCCAUUUUUUUUUUUAAAUUUAAACAAAAAUUAAAAGGAACACCGACAGGUACACACUGCUUCUCCACCUGGGAGCUGUAAUUUACGUAAGCCUCAG